AUAUAUAUACAUUAUGUUUUAUAUAUUUUAUUUUAUCGUUUUUUUAAUGUUAUACAUUUUUCAGAUUUUAUUUUAUUAUUUUUUUAUGUUUUAUGUAUUUAAUUCAAAUUUAUUAAAACAUUUUUUUACAGCCUUUGGGACUUUUUUGCUGUAACUGUUCUUUCUGUGAUUAUUUUCUGAUCCAGUUGUAAUUGUGAUCCAGCUGUGAGUGUGACAGCAGCAGGUCAGCGGUCCAGCAGAGCUCCGCCUCAUUUAACCACACGCCUUCUUUCUCUUUUUUUUUUUUUUUUACUGCUGGAGGAAACAAACGACUCACCAUCUGGUGGUGGUGUCCAGGGAUGUUAGCCUCCUGGAAGAAGGAGCUGAGGGCCGUCUGCAGACAGAGAGAGGACACUAACGUCCCUCUGUCCUUCACACUUCCUGCUACUGGAGAUACAAACAGCGAGGUCAGCGGGUUCCUGCGCACGCCUCUGCAGACAGACGGCGUUUCCUCAGCCGUGAUGGAGAACAAGAGACGUUUCUAUGAAGAUUUUAACUCUUCUGGACCCUGAACCUGCUCUGGACCUGCCUCUGAAUCCUUCCUGUUGACGUCAAACAACCGACCUGCAGAAGGUGAGCCACCGUUCUGCUGUCAGGAGCCUCGAUACGCCUCAGAUCUGUGAGAUUUACUCUGCGUUAACACUGUGGUGUCUCUGGCUGAGGACAGCAGACACUUCAGUCCUCAGAACACAAACAGUGUGUUCACUGUGAGACAAACACAACAAGGCUCACCGACCUGCACAUCAGAGCUCAAACCUUUAAAAACACAUCACCAAAUCUCUGCUUCCAGCUUCUCCAGUCUGAAGAUUUUCAUCUUUUUGAAAACCUAGCCUCACAGGGAAUCUAACAUAACUUCAGAUGUUUAAAAAAAAAUCAGAUUUAAUGGCAAUAAAUUCUGCAGAAAAUGUUGCAGCACUUGCAACAACUGGCUGCACUGCAAAGCAUCACAAAACAGGAGGAGCAAUGUGUCAAUAUCAGCGAAAUGUUCCAGAGGUGGAGAGAAAUGUUGCUAAAAGUUUAGCUGCAACCAGUCAGGAUGACUGAAACUAAAGUGUACAGUAUCUGUAUAAAGAGCAGCGCUGGGAUCAACACAUUAUAUUACUUUAUAUUCUUCACCAGCUGCAUUUCUCUGCAGGUUGGUCUCCUGAGACAGUGAAGGAGUUCCUCUCUGACCUCCUCCUGUUCUGGGCCGUAGUGCUUAAUUACAUCAGGAGAUUUUCUGAGCAGUCAUGUGACCUCUGACGUCAUGAUAAAUGAAUGAGCUCUCUGGGUUUCCACAGUGUCAACUUCAUGCUGAUCACAUGCAGGCAAAAACCACACAGUUUAUCUGAUGCAGUGAAAUCUGCCAUUUUCACCUACAGUAUGUGAAGAUUUGUGCAUACUGAGGUCCCUGAACAGGCCUUUAAUUACAUAAACUGGGAUAGACUCCUGCGGAUUCAAUGAGCCCAAUUUUAUAAUCUGUGAUGUUAGGAGCCUAAUUCAGCAUUGACAAAUUGUAUCAAACCCAAAAAUUGCUGCAACAAACAAAGAAAGUCAAACAUGAAUGUUCUGAACCAUUAAACACCUUAAUAGGUUUAAUUCAUUAACUAAUGACCACAA